GAUGAACGCUGGCGGCGUGCCUAAUAUAUGCAAGUCGAGCGAACGGACUAGAAGCUUGCUUCUCUGAUGUUAGCGGCGGACGGGUGAGUAACACGUGGAUAACCUACCUAUAAGACUGGGAUAACUUCGGGAAACCGUAGCUAAUACCGGAUAAUAUUUUGAACCGCAUGGUUCAAAAGUGAAAGACGGUCUUGCUGUCACUUAUAGAUGGAUCCGCGCUGCAUUAGCUAGUUGGUAAGGUAACGGCUUACCAAGGCAACGAUGCAUAGCCGACCUGAGAGGGUGAUCGGCCACACUGGAACUGAGACACGGUCCAGACUCCUACGGGAGGCAGCAGUAGGGAAUCUUCCGCAAUGGGCGAAAGCCUGACGGAGCAACGCCGCGUGAGUGAUGAAGGUCUUCGGAUCGUAAAACUCUGUUAUUAGGGAAGAACAUAUGUGUAAGUAACUGUGCACAUCUUGACGGUACCUAAUCAGAAAGCCACGGCUAACUACGUG
rnacentral:rRNA from 1 species